AUUGAACGCUGGCGGCAGGCCUAACACAUGCAAGUCGAACGAGUGGCGGACGGGUGAGAAAUGUCUGGGAAACUGCCUGAUGGAGGGGGAUAACUACUGGAAACGGUAGCUAAUACCGCAUACUAUCAGAUGUGCCCAGAGGGGAUUAGCUAGUUGUUGGGGUGACGGCUCACCGAGGCGACGAUCUCUAGCUGGUCUGAGAGGAUGAUCAGCCACACUGGGACGUAGACACGGUCCAGACUCCUACGGGAGGCAGCAGUGGGGAAUAGUGCACAAUGGGCGAAAGCCUGAUGCAGCCAUGCCGCGUGUAUGAAGAAGGCCUUAGGGUUGUAAAGUACUUUCAGCGGGGAGGCGUUACCGGCAGAAGAAGCACCGGCUAACUCCGUGCCAGCAGCCGCGGUAAUAC
rnacentral:rRNA from 1 species